UUCACACCAAUGUAUAUCAGGGGUGGAUGAGCAACUGAAAAUUCUAGACUCUUGAGCCUGGAAAUAAUAGAUAUGUAUAAGGAAAGGAAAUAUAAGAAUGGAGGUGCUGGGACUAUUUACUAAUAUCUGUUUAAAACAUCUAUUUCUCUAGAACGUAGUGGUGGUAUGCCCUCCCCAAAAGAGAGCAUGAGCCUGGCAUACCUGCCCAUCUGACUUCUGGCCAGCCCACUUAGGGUUGCUUCUUUUCAUAAAGUUACUGAACCUGCCGUACAGACAAGCCCUGAGUUCAGAAAGCUUGUUUCAUAAAUACGCUUAAACUUAGCUUCUGGAUGAUAAAACUGGGAAAAUAGGACAGUGGG